CGUAGGCACCAAGCGUUAUCCGGAUUUAUUGGGCGUAAAGAGCUCGUAGGCGGUUCGGUAAGUCGGGUGUGAAAACUCUGGGCUCAACCCAGAGAGGCCACUCGAUACUGCUGUGACUAGAGUGCGGUAGGGGAGCGGGGAAUUCAUGGUGUAGCGGUGAAAUGCGCAGAUAUCAUGAGGAACACCAGCGGCGAAGGCGCCGCUCUGGGCCGUAACUGACGCUGAGGAGCGAAAGCAUGGGUAGCAAACAGGAUU
rnacentral:rRNA from 1 species